AACGAACGCUGGCGGCAUGCCUAACACAUGCAAGUCGAACGAAACCUUCGGUUCUAGUGGCGCACGGUUGCGUAACGCUUGGGAACCUGCCCUUAAGUUCGGAAUAACUCCCCGAAAGGGUUGCUAAUACCGGAUAAUUUCUUCGUACCAAUGCUUUAUCGCAUUUGGGUGGGCCCGCGUUUGAUUAGGUAGUUGUUAAGGUAAAAGACUACCAAGGCGAGGAGCCAUAGCUGGUCUGAGAGGAUGAACAGUCACACUGGGACUGAGACACGGCCCAGACUCCAAGGGGAGGCAGGAGAGGGGAAUAAUGGAGAAGGGGCGAAAGGCUGAGACAGCAAGGCCGGGUGAGUGAUGAAGGGGUUAGGGUUGGAAAGCUGUAGGAGCCGGGAUGAUAAUGACAGUACCGGGAGAAGAAGCACCGGCUAACUACGUG
rnacentral:rRNA from 1 species